rnacentral:rRNA from 1 species
AUGAACGCUAGCUACAGGCUUAACACAUGCAAGUCGAGGGGCAGCAUGGUCUUAGCUUGCUAAGGCCGAUGGCGACCGGCGCACGGGUGAGUAACACGUAUCCAACCUGCCGUCUACUCUUGGACAGCCUUCUGAAAGGAAGAUUAAUACAAGAUGGCAUCAUGAGUCCGCAUGUUCACAUGAUUAAAGGUAUUCCGGUAGACGAUGGGGAUGCGUUCCAUUAGAUAGUAGGCGGGGUAACGGCCCACCUAGUCUUCGAUGGAUAGGGGUUCUGAGAGGAAGGUCCCCCACAUUGGAACUGAGACACGGUCCAAACUCCUACGGGAGGCAGCAGUGAGGAAUAUUGGUCAAUGGGCGAGAGCCUGAACCAGCCAAGUAGCGUGAAGGAUGACUGCCCUAUGGGUUGUAAACUUCUUUUAUAAAGGAAUAAAGUCGGGUAUGGAUACCCGUUUGCAUGUACUUUAUGAAUAAGGAUCGGCUAACUCCGUGCCAGCAGCCGCGGUAAUACGGAGGAUCCGAGCGUUAUCCGGAUUUAUUGGGUUUAAAGGGAGCGUAGAUGGAUGUUUAAGUCAGUUGUGAAAGUUUGCGGCUCAACCGUAAAAUUGCAGUUGAUACUGGAUAUCUUGAGUGCAGUUGAGGCAGGCGGAAUUCGUGGUGUAGCGGUGAAAUGCUUAGAUAUCACGAAGAACUCCGAUUGCGAAGGCAGCCUGCUAAGCUGCAACUGACAUUGAGGCUCGAAAGUGUGGGUAUCAAACAGGAUUAGAUACCCUGGUAGUCCACACGGUAAACGAUGAAUACUCGCUGUUUGCGAUAUACUGCAAGCGGCCAAGCGAAAGCGUUAAGUAUUCCACCUGGGGAGUACGCCGGCAACGGUGAAACUCAAAGGAAUUGACGGGGGCCCGCACAAGCGGAGGAACAUGUGGUUUAAUUCGAUGAUACGCGAGGAACCUUACCCGGGCUUAAAAUGCAGAUGAAUUACGGUGAAAGCCGUAAGCCGCAAGGCAUCUGUGAAGGUGCUGCAUGGUUGUCGUCAGCUCGUGCCGUGAGGUGUCGGCUUAAGUGCCAUAACGAGCGCAACCCUUGUUGUCAGUUACUAACAGGUUCCGCUGAGGACUCUGACAAGACUGCCAUCGUAAGAUGUGAGGAAGGUGGGGAUGACGUCAAAUCAGCACGGCCCUUACGUCCGGGGCUACACACGUGUUACAAUGGGGGGUACAGAGGGCCGCUACCACGCGAGUGGAUGCCAAUCCCCAAAACCUCUCUCAGUUCGGACUGGAGUCUGCAACCCGACUCCACGAAGCUGGAUUCGCUAGUAAUCGCGCAUCAGCCACGGCGCGGUGAAUACGUUCCCGGGCCUUGUACACACCGCCCGUCAAGCCAUGGGAGCCGGGGGUACCUGAAGUGCGUAACCGCGAGGAGCGCCCUAGGGUAAAACUGGUGACUGGGGCU